rnacentral:rRNA from 1 species
AUUGAACGCUAGCGGGAGGCUUUACACAUGCAAGUCGAGCGAGUGGCGGACGGGUGAGUAAUGUCUCGGAAACUGCCUAGUAGAGGGGGAUAACUACUGGAAAGGGUGGCUAAUACCGCAUACUAUCGGAUGUGCCCACGUGGGAUUAGCGAGUUGGUGGGGUAAAGGCUCACCAAGGCGACGAUCCGUAGCUGGUUUGAGAGGAUGACCAGCCACACUGGAACUGAGACACGGGCCAGACUCCUACGGGAGGCAGUAGUGGUGAAUAUUGGACAAUGGGCGAAAGCCUUAUCCAGCCAUCCCGCGUGUAUGAGGAAGGCCUUCGGGUUGUAAAGUACUUUCAGCCGGGAGGCGUUAUCCGCAGAAGAAGCACCGGCUAACUACGUGCCAGCAGCCGCGGUAAUAC